GAAUGGUAAACCAUCUAAAUGGUUAACAGAGAAGCCAUCAUCUCAGGUGCCCAUCUUCAUAGAGAGUGAAGAGGAACAAGCCACUCUCUUCGCACACCUGAAGGCAUUACUGGGAAGAAAUCCAACUCAAUACAAGUACAGAGAUUAAGUGCAGUUCAUCUGCGAGGUUCUUCUUCCUGAGACCAUCAUAUAUGGAAUCUCGGCAUUGAAGGGGGUGUCAUGGCAGGAGGCAGAACAAACAUUUCUGUCAGGGCCUGUUUACCAACAAAGUGAAGUGGAGGAGUUUUGUAGGAGGCUACAGAGGCAGAUGAAAAAGGAAGGGGCACUAUUCAAAUGAUCUCCUUAAUGUGGGAUGUGACUGCACCUGCACUGAAUAUAUAUUAUAUACUGUACAUUUCAUCAAGAUGAGACAAUUGUUUACCCCAAGUUAUAUUGUUAAAUAAAUGUUAUAUUGUUCUGUUUGGGAAUUUUGGACUUAAUACUACCAUACUUACCA